CCUACGGGGGGCAGCAGUGGGGAAUAUUGGACAAUGGGAGCAACCCUGAUCCAGCCAUGCCGCGUGUGUGAAGAAGGCCCUCGGGUUGUAAAGCACUUUCAGUGAGGAAGAACGCCUGGUGGUUAAUACCCAUCAGGAAAGACAUCACUCACAGAAGAAGCACCGGCUAACUCCGUGCCAGCAGCCGCGGUAAUACGGAGGGUGCGAGCGUUAAUCGGAAUUACUGGGCGUAAAGCGCGCGUAGGUGGCUUGAUAAGCCGGUUGUGAAAGCCCCGGGCUCAACCUGGGAACGGCAUCCGGAACUGUCAAGCUAGAGUGCAGGAGAGGAAGGUAGAAUUCCCGGUGUAGCGGUGAAAUGCGUAGAGAUCGGGAGGAAUACCAGUGGCGAAGGCGGCCUUCUGGACUGACACUGACACUGAGGUGCGAAAGCGUGGGUAGCAAACAGGAUUAGAUACCCUUGUAGUC
rnacentral:rRNA from 1 species